rnacentral:rRNA from 1 species
CGGCGUAAAGAGUGGUUAUGGAAUCAUUAUACUAAAGCCGAAAGCCCCUUAAACUGUCAUACGCACCCAGAGGCCGGAACCCCACUAUACGAAAGUAGCUUUAAUAAGCCCACCAGAAUCCACGACAGCUGGGACACAAACUGGGAUUAGAUACCCCACUAUGCCCAGCCAUAAACUUAGAUGUUUUCUACACAACUAACAUCCGCCAGGGAACUACGAGCACUAGCUUAAAACCCAAAGGACUUGGCGGUGCUUCAGACCCCCCUAGAGGAGCCUGUUCUAGAACCGAUAACCCCCGUUCAACCUCACCACCCCUUGCCCCUUCCGCCUAUAUACCACCGUCGUCAGCUUACCCUGUGAAGGAAGAAAAGUAAGCGAAAUGGAACCCCCCCCAAAACGUCAGGUCGAGGUGUAGCACACGAGGUGGGAAGAAAUGGGCUACAUUGCCUGACCCAGGCCAUUCACGGAAAGUCACCUGAAAUGGUUACUCAAAGGUGGAUUUAGCAGUAAAAGGAAAAUAGAGUGUCCCUUUGAAGCCGGCUCUGAAGCGCGCACACACCGCCCGUCACUCUCCCCAACAACCACCCUAUAGAGUAAAUAACACCAUAAAACAAAGAAAGGGGAGGCAAGUCGUAACAUGGUAAGUGUA